rnacentral:lncRNA from 1 species
AGAAACAAUGCUAGAGCAAAUGAGAGGAAUAAGCGCAAUGAUAGGCCCCGCAAUACUGAUAGGUCAAGAAACUUUGAGAGGAGGAGGGAAAACAUGCAAAAUAGAGAUUUUCCAAAUCCUGCAACUGGACCUAACAUGAGUGCACCAGCUCCAGGUGGUAUGCCUCCCAACAACUUUAAUCCCAGCAUGCCUCCUCACAACCGCCAAGGCGAUUAUCCAGGAGGACCACCACCUCCGAACAAUUUUAACAGACCACCACCGCCACCACCGCACAACUACAGCGGACCACCACCACCACCACCACACAACUUCAGCGGACCACCACCACCACCACCACACAACUUCAGCGGACCACCACCACCACCACCGCACAACUUCAACGGACCACCACCACCACCACCGCACAACUUCAACGGACCACCACCACCACCGUACAACUUCAACGGGCCACCACCUCCUCCACCAAACAACUUCAACGGACCACCACCUCCUCCACCGAACAACUUCAACGGACCACCACCACGCAACUAUGCUUCAGCAUCACCAAAUCACGGAGGAGGAGGAGGAGGAGCACCCCACAACUAUGGGGGGCCACAGGAAAACAACUAUUGGGGAGCACAGCAGCCAAACAACUAUGGUGGACCUUCAAACUCUGGCCGGGGACCUGCAUAGAACAACUACUAUGAAGGGGUAAAAAAAGGCUAAUGGUGGUGGAUGGUCUAAUAUGUGCAUAAAAAUCAAGAAGAAUAGUCUAGGCGGUCAGGGUAGUCUAACGGUGGUGGCUGGUCACUGCAUUUUCGUUUUGGUGCUACAAACGAUGAGUUUAAUUUUGCUUUAUGAGUCGGCAUUUGUUUAAAAUCUGUUUAAGUCUUGUGUACAAUUUAAUAUAUUCAUGAGAUGGUGUAUCGUUUAUAAUGUUGUCUUUGUUCUGAAGUUGGCAAUGAUAUUGUCUCUUUUGGCCAUAUCUCUUUUAAGCUUGCAACAUACAUGUGUAUUUAAUGUAUGUGUAGUUAAAAUAAAGUCAGAGAUGUAAAAUUAUUUAAUAAUUUUAAAAUGGAUCAAAAUUAUAAGUAAAUUCAUACCAAGAGAAAGGAAGGAAAGACAAAAGAAAAAUAGAUCCUCCUUAUAUUUAUGAAAAUUUAUAUUAGGAAUGAAUUUAAUUUUACGUUUUAAAAAUAUAAUAAUAAAUAUUUAAUUAUUAUAUUAGCAAAAGCAAAUCUUUAAACCCUUAAACCCUUUCAAAACCCUUUUUCUUUUUUCAUUUUUUGUCUUUUUUGUUUCAACCUUCUCCCAUGGCGACUCAGCUCUUCUCUUUGUUUUCACGUUCCUUUCUCACUCCACCGGAGUCCCCCAUCUCCGUCUCUUCUCACUCCUCUUCCUCCCUUCUCCGCCGCCUCCCUCCCCUCGCUGCUAUACUCACCGCUGAUUUCCCGUCACUCUGCUGCACCGAGCGUGAGGAACUUCUCUACCCGUUCCACUUCUUCGUCUAUCAAAGAUCCCAAUCCUAACUGGUCUAAUCGACCACUCAUGGAGACCAUAUUGCUUGAUGGCUGUGAUUUUGAACACUGGCUCGUUGUCAUGGAGAACAACUCACGAGGGAUGAGAUUAUCGACAGCUAUAUAAAAACGCUUGCCAUUGUUGUCUGAAGGUAAAUUCUCAUUUUCGUAUAUUGUAUUGAAUCUCUCUCUCUCUCUUUCCUCCCAACGUUGGGCUAUCCUGAAUCUGAUGAUUGCAUUUAUUCGUGUCUCUUCUGUGUCUUUUUUUCUUCGUUGUGUUGUUCUUGGCUAUGUCUUUGUUUUGUAUUGAUGAUAUGAAGCUGUACCUUUUCCUCUUCAGAGCUGCCUAAGGUUCGUUGGGUCUUACCUGAUUCAUACUUGGACGUUAAGAAUAAAGAUUACGGAGGUUAUUCCUGACCCCAUUAAGUAUGCAAAUAAUCAUUUUAUCUCUUUCGGUGUCUAAUUUUACAGUCCUCACUCUUUAGUUUUGAAAAGAGGUCAGUCGUUCUGAAGAAGGCUUUAUUUCAAUUUAAAGCUACUAGAAGUUAAAAUUUUCAUAAUAUCAUAUGUCUUGUUCAUUAUACAUUUUUCUCAGAAAAGAAGUUUGAAAUACGUCAUUCAAAGAUAGUAAGUAGCUUUUCUCUUUACAAAAAUGUAGACUAUUGAGGGGAUAGAAUGUUAGCUACUUACUUGAAAAGUUGAAGCUCUUGUAUUGUAUGAUGGUUGAGGAUCCUGACUCAUUCAGGUCACAUUCCUAAGAUGAUAGAAAGUUUAAAAACUUAUCUAAGAUUGCAAUGCACUCUUGAGCAGACUGUCAAUGCACUCUUAAUUUGAAAGCCAGUAUCUUUUUGUUGUAGUGUCUCCCUUGUUUUGGUUCACUUAAGGCUACAACUAUUUUACCUUAUUUUGGUGUUGUACAGAACUGUUAUCUGACUUUCCGUGUAUUUUUUCCCUUUGGCAGGGGGGCCUUUUAUAAACGGACAAGCUGCUCCAUAUGACUCGAAGUACCACGAAGAAUGGAUUAGAAACAAUGCUAAAGCAAAUAGUAGGCGUGAUGUUAAUGGUAGGCGCAAUUUCGAUAGGUCAAGAAACUUUGAGAAGAGGGAAAACAUGCAGAAUGGAGAAUUUCCAAAUAAUGUUUCAGCGAGUCAACCUACUGGACCGAAAUUGAGUCCACCAGCUCCAAGUAGUACACCCCUCCCAACAACUUUAGUCCUAGCAUGCCUCCUCACAACCAUGCUGGAAUACCCCAAGGCAACUAUCCGGGAGGAUAUCCGAACAAUUUUAACAGACCACUGCCUCCGCCACCACCAUACAACUUCAACAGCCCACCACCACCUCCUC